UCUUCCUCUGAUCUGCUGCAUGUUGUUAUUCUGUAUCAUUACAGUCACAUAUAAUGUUGCACAAUGGCAGUUUCAAGUGCACAGAUCAUCAAACAUUAUUCAACAUAUUUUGGUCUCACAGCUCCAGUAAUUAUGCAAAUUCUUCUUAAUAACGAGGAUCUACAUGCUGGUUUGGAAAACAGCUGUUGCACCAUUGAACAAUAAUGUACAACGUUAAGACAACGUUAUCAGGAAACUCAACACAAGACUGAAAUACACUGAAAGAUCAUUGAUGAUAGUGUUGUUCCUUUAAAAUAAUAAUGAAAAAACAUGAUAAUUAUUUAUAAAAAUAUCCCCAAUAUGAGGAAAAUGCUUUAGAAUAUUACAUUGAGUUGAUCUGACCAACACUUUUAGUGUAGAUAAAAACAUUUAACAAACGCUUGUCUUUUGUCCCUCAUAUAAAACUGAAGUUUUGGUGAAGAUGUAACACAAGGUGAAGAUGAGUGUCACACUUUAGACCUGUAACUACUUUCACUCGUGUUUAUAAUCCAUCAACAAUAGAAGAUAAUAUACAUGAGAUGUUAAAAUGACCAACUAAAGACUGAGAAAUCAAAAUAAUGCACAAAAAUCUUUAAAAUGAUCUUAUAAACGGCACACAACAUGACAAUUCAAAAUUACUUAGAAAAUAGAAAAAUAUUGUAAAUAUAUCAGUAAAAAUGUGUUUAGUAAAAUAUGGUAAAGCUUUAUCUAAGACUAUAUUAUUGGCAGCUGAAAUAUUCUUCUCAUCUUCACUUGUGUUUUUCAGCACAAAGAAAGUCGUACACAUCUGGGAUGCAUGAGAAUGAAUAAAAUGUCAAUAUUAGGUGAACUAUCCCUUUAAACUUGGACUCAAAGUGAAUAAAAACAAGGUGGCACAGUUGUUCUAAUUUGAUCUGAGGUGAUACUUGGCUUGAAAAGUUUGAGACCCAUCAAUCUUAUCCUUCAUUAUCUGCUGGGAAGACUACAAGACUACAGCGCAUCAACCUCCAUGUUAUAAUUUAUUCGUGCAUCUCUCAUCUUCGUACAUUCUGUCUGCUACUGAAGAGACAAUAUAUUUGUCAGUUUAAUGCUGCUUCUAUGCACAGUAAAAAUCACACUUUAUGACCAAAUGUAACCGUAAUAUUAUUGGCCGAGUGUCGUAAGAGCUUAUAAUAACGUCGCAGGGGCGUCCAGUAUGCCAGUGCUGGUGCUCAUGUAGUGUAGGUGUCAUAAUGUCUCAGAUUCACUAUUCCCCAUUGUUUCCUGUAAUCGACUCAUUCACUCCGUCAUUCUGAUGAGGUGGUGGAUUCACUCCGUUACUCAGAGGAAUCAACUCGUUCACUCCGUCAUUCUGAUGAGGUGGUGGAUUCACUCCGUCAUUCUGAUGAGGUAGUGGAUUCACUCUGUCAUUCUGAUGAGGUGGUGGAUUCACUCCGUCAUUCUGAUGAGGUAGUGGAUUCACUCUGUCAUUCUGAUGAGGUGGUGGAUUCACUCUGUCAUUCUGAUGAGGUAGUGGAUUCACUCUGUCAUUCUGAUGAGGUGGUGGAUUCACUCCGUCAUUCUGAUGAGGUAGUGGAUUCACUCCGUCAUUCUGAUGAGGUAGUGGAUUCACUCCGUCAUUCUGAUGAGGUAGUGGAUUCACUCUGUCAUUCUGAUGAGGUAGUGGAUUCACUCUGUCAUUCUGAUGAGGUGGUGGAUUCACUCCGUCAUUCUGAUGAGGUGGUGGAUUCACUCCGUCAUUCUGAUGAGGUGGUGGAUUCACUCCGUCAUUCUGAUGAGGUGGUGGAUUCACUCUGUCAUUCUGAUGAGGUGGUGGAUUCACUCCGUCAUUCUGAUGAGGUGGUGGAUUCACUCCGUCAUUCUGAUGAGGUGGUGGAUUCACUCCGUCAUUCUGAUGAGGUGGUGGAUUCACUCCGUCAUUCUGAUGAGGUGGUGGAUUCACUCUGUCAUUCUGAUGAGGUGGUGGAUUCACUCCGUCAUUCUGAUGAGGUGGUGGAUUCACUCCGUCAUUCUGAUGAGGUGGUGGAUUCACUCUGUCAUUC